rnacentral:rRNA from 1 species
AUUGAACGCUGGCAGCAGGCCUAACACAUGCAAGUCGAGCGCCGUAGCAAUACGGAGCGGCAGACGGGAGAGUAACACGUGGGAACGUACCCUUUGGUUCGGAACAACCCAGGGAAACUUGGGCUAAUACCGGAUAAGCCCUCACGGGGAAAGAUUCAUCGCCGAAGGAUCGGCCCGCGUCUGAUUAGCUAGUUGGUGGGGUAAUGGCCCACCAAGGCGACGAUCAGUAGCUGGUCUGAGAGGAUGAUCAGCCUCACUGGGACUGAGACACGGACCAGACUCCUACGGGAGGCAGCAGUGGGGAAUAUUGGACAAUGGGCGCAAGCCUGAUCCAGCCAUGCCGCGUGGGUGAUGAAGGCCCUAGGGUUGUAAAGCCCUUUCGGCGGGGAAGAUAAUGACGGUACCCGCAGAAGAAGCCCCGGCUAACUUCGUGCCAGCAGCCGCAGUAACAC